rnacentral:misc_RNA from 1 species
UGGGUUUAUGACAUUGGCAGUCA